rnacentral:rRNA from 1 species
UACGUAGGGUCCGAGCGUUGUCCGGAAUUAUUGGGCGUAAAGGGCUCGUAGGCGGUUUGUCGCGUCGGGAGUGAAAACACCGGGCUUAACUCGGUGCUUGCUUUCGAUACGGGCAGACUAGAGGCAUUCAGGGGAGAACGGAAUUCCUGGUGUAGCGGUGAAAUGCGCAGAUAUCAGGAGGAACACCAACAGCGAAGGCAGCACUCUGGGCCGGUACUGACGCUGAGGAGCGAAAGCAUGGGGAGCGAACAGG